GAUGAACGCUGGCGGCGUGCCUAAUACAUGCAAGUCGAGCGAACAGACGAGGAGCUUGCUCCUCUGACGUUAGCGGCGGACGGGUGAGUAACACGUGGAUAACCUACCUAUAAGACUGGGAUAACUUCGGGAAACCGGAGCUAAUACCGGAUAAUAUAUUGAACCGCAUGGUUCAAUAGUGAAAGACGGUUUUGCUGUCACUUAUAGAUGGAUCCGCGCCGCAUUAGCUAGUUGGUAAGGUAACGGCUUACCAAGGCGACGAUGCGUAGCCGACCUGAGAGGGUGAUCGGCCACUCUGGAACUGAGACACGGUCCAGACUCCUACGGGAGGCAGCAGUAGGGAAUCUUCCGCAAAGGGCGAAAGCCUGACGGAGCAACGCCGCGUGAGUGAUGAAGGUCUUCGGAUCGUAAAACUCUGUUAUUAGGGAAGAACAAAUGUGUAAGUAACUAUGCACGUCUUGACGGUACCUAAUCAGAAAGCCACGGCUAACUACGUG
rnacentral:rRNA from 1 species